rnacentral:tRNA from 1 species
GCCGAGAUGGUGAAAUUGGUAGACACGCUAGCAUGAGGUGCUAGUGCCUUAGGUGUGAGGGUUUCGAGUCCCUCUCUCGGCACCA